CAGAACAACACCGCUGCUCACCAUAGCGAUGAGCUUUCAGCAGCAACAACAACAAAACAAAACUCCUCCAUUGAGUCUGUUAAAACAUGAACGUAUGAGACGUUUCAGCUCAAAGGCUGCAGUUGUACAUCCGGGCGGUUUCCAUGACAGCAAGGAGAGACACUCCCUCAGAGGCAUUCCAACCAUGUCGGCCUCGUCGACUGAAGCAAGUCAGGACCCGACGGGGGCUUUUGAGACAUGACGAUGCCAUCGGACGUGAUAACACUGUGUGGAGUCGGCAACAUGUGAAGUCAUCAACCGAGCCCAACGGCCAUGAAUGUGUGGGUGUGUGAACGUUCAUGUCAGCUAUGCUUUGUGUCAUUUCGACUACAGGACUGACGUCUAAUGUUCAACCAGCAGGACGUCUGCAGGGUUAAUGAUUAUCACAACCUGAAAGUGGUUUCGUUGCGGUUGAAUAUUUCCUGUUUCCUGCAUAGAAACUGUAACUGCAUUAAUGUGCAGGAGCAGUCAGCUGACCUUGUUUUUAUUUAAUAUUUGAGUUGAAUAAUUAUAAUAAAUGGAUUAUGUACUGCUUAAUCAAUCAAGUCAACUCCAAAAGAACAGAAAAUUAAGAAGAACAGGACAACACUGUAGUGAAAUACACCUCCUCGCCUUAUUUUCUGUGUGGCGGUUUGGUUUCAAUGGGGCGUGUGGAAUUAAUUUGGUUAGUGCUGAAUAGAUCCUUCUAACAUAUGUGUUUAAUCUAACUGUGACACAUUGAAUUCAUACAUAACAAGUAAAUACAUAUAACAUUUUUAAUAAUAAUAAAUGUAUUGUAUUUCACUUCA